rnacentral:rRNA from 1 species
CAAAGGUGAGCCAGUACAGGAUGGACCCGCGUCUGAUUAGCUAGUUGGUAAGGUAACGGCUUACCAAGGCGACGAUCAGUAGCCGACCUGAGAGGGUGAUCGGCCACAUUGGAACUGAGACACGGUCCAAACUCCUACGGGAGGCAGCAGUGGGGAAUAUUGCACAAUGGGCGAAAGCCUGAUGCAGCAACGCCGCGUGAGUGAUGAAGGCCUUCGGGUCGUAAAACUCUGUCCUCAAGGAAGAUAAUGACGGUACUUGAGGAGGAAGCCCCGGCUAACUACGUGCCAGCAGCCGCGGUAAUACGUAGGGGGCUAGCGUUAUCCGGAUCUACUGGGCGUAAAGGGUGCGUAGGCGGUCUUUCAAGUCAGGAGUGAAAGGCUACGGCUCAACCGUAGUAAGCUCUUGAAACUGGGAGACUUGAGUGCAGGAGAGGAGAGUGGAAUUCCUAGUGUAGCGGUGAAAUGCGUAGAUAUUAGGAGGAACACCAGUUGCGAAGGCGGCUCUCUGGACUGUAACUGACGCUGAGGCACGAAAGCGUGGGGAGCAAACAGGAUUAGAUACCCUGGUAGUCCACGCUGUAAACGAUGAGUACUAGGUGUCGGGGGUUACCCCCUUCG